rnacentral:lncRNA from 1 species
ACAAAUCAAAAUUAUAUUUUAAAAAUGUUAUUAUUAAUGUUACAUUUUAUAAAACUUUCAUUAAUUACAUGUAAAACCAUUACCAAAAUGUUAAAUUAUUAACAAAAAAAUAAAAAAUAAGAAAUAACACUAAAAACAAAUUUAAUAUAUAGAAAAUAUUAGUUUUUACUUAAAAUUUAACUUAUUAAAUUAUAAAUUGUAAAAAUUGAAUUAAAUUAGAAAAUUUUAAAAAUUAACCAGAUAUAAGCAAAAGUGUAUUAAUAUGUCUAUUCCAC